AGCGAACGCUGGCGGCAGGCCUAACACAUGCAAGUCGAACGAACCUUUCGGGGUUAGUGGCGGACGGGUGAGUAACACGUGGGAACGUGCCUUUAGGUUCGGAAUAACUCAGGGAAACUUGUGCUAAUACCGAAUGUGCCCUUCGGGGGAAAGAUUUAUCGCCUUUAGAGCGGCCCGCGUCUGAUUAGCUAGUUGGUUGAGGUAAUGGCGCACCAAGGCGACGAUCAGUAGCUGGGCUGAGAGGAUGAUCAGCCACAUUGGGACUGAGACACGGCCCAAACUCCUACGGGAGGCAGAAGUGGGGAAUCUUGCGCAAUGGGCGAAAGCCUGACGCAGCCAUGCCGCGUGAAUGAUGAAGGUCUUAGGAUUGUAAAAUUCUUUCACCGGGGACGAUAAUGACGGUACCCGGAGAAGAAGCCCCGGCUAACUUCGUG
rnacentral:rRNA from 1 species